rnacentral:rRNA from 1 species
ACGUAGGGGGCAAGCGUUGUCCGGAAUUACUGGGCGUAAAGGGUGCGUAGGCGGUUUGGUAAGUUAGAUGUGAAAUCCCCGGGCUUAACUCGGGAGCUGCCUUUAAAACUGCUGAACUAGAGUGCAGGAGAGGAAAGCGGAAUUCCUAGUGUAGCGGUGAAAUGCGUAGAUAUUAGGAGGAGCACCAGUGGCGAAGGCGGCUAACUGGACUGUAACUGACGCUGAGGCACGAAAGCGUGGGGAGCGAACAG